GAUGAACGCUGGCGGCGUGCCUAAUACAUGCAAGUCGAGCGAACAGAUGAGAAGCUUGCUUCUCUGAUGUUAGCGGCGGACGGGUGAGUAACACGUGGGUAACCUACCUAUAAGGCUAGGAUAACUCCGGGAAACCGGGGCUAAUACCGGAUAAUAUUUUGAACCGCAUGGUUCAAUAGUGAAAGACGGUUUCGGCUGUCACUUAUAGAUGGACCCGCGCCGUAUUAGCUAGUUGGUAAGGUAAUGGCUUACCAAGGCGACGAUACGUAGCCGACCUGAGAGGGUGAUCGGCCACACUGGAACUGAGACACGGUCCAGACUCCUACGGGAGGCAACAGUAGGGAAUCUUCCGCAAUGGGCGAAAGCCUGACGGAGCAACGCCGCGUGAGUGAUGAAGGUCUUCGGAUCGUAAAACUCUGUUGUUAGGGAAGAACAAAUUUGUUAGUAACUGAACAAGUCUUGACGGUACCUAACCAGAAAGCCACGGCUAACUACGUGCCAGCCGCCGCCGUAA
rnacentral:rRNA from 1 species